CUAUACUGCAGUCGAGCGGACCGACGGGAGCUUGCUCCCUUAGGUCAGCGGCGGACGGGUGAGUAACACGUGGGUAACCUGCCUGUAAGACUGGGAUAACUCCGGGAAACCGGGGCUAAUACCGGAUGCUUGAUUGAACCGCAUGGUUCAAUCAUAAAAGGUGGCUUUUAGCUACCACUUACAGAUGGACCCGCGGCGCAGUAGCUAAUUGGUGAGGUAACGGCUCACCAAGGCGACGAUGCGUAGCCGACCUGAGAGGGUGAUCGGCCACACUGGGACUGAGACACGGCCCAGACUCCUACGGGAGGCAGCAGUAAGGAAUCUUCCGCAAUGGACGAAAGUCUGACGGAACAACGCCGCGUGAGUGAUGAAGGUUUUCGGAUCGUAAAACUCUGUUGUUAGGGAAGAACAAGUACCGUUCGAAUAAGGCGGUACCUUGACGGUACCUAACCAGAAAGCCACGGCUAACUACCCUGGCCAUCAGCNNCCGGUAAUAAAA
rnacentral:rRNA from 1 species